ACCACCAUUAAUGGCCCACACUUUGCACAAUUACAAUAGGCCCUCAGAGUUAUUUCAUCUUUCUACUUUCAGAUACAAGAGCGGUACAUUUAUACAGCUAGGAUGACCGCACGCAGUAGAUUACAAGCUCUGUAAUGAUACCUCACAAGAGACCUUUUGCAUGAAGCAUAUUCCAGUUACGUUAUAUUCACACUCAGUGGCAUAUUUUCAUAAAGCAUUGUGGAGUGCAACAUCACAAUGGCUGGUGCGAGAGACCUGGAUAACGCAGCGGAGGAUGCACGUAAAACUUGUGCAGAGACCACCCAGCUGGGAGGAUUGUAGGUGGUUCGGAGGCAGGGUCCAGGACAAGCUGGUGAAGGGUUGGGGGAGGCCAGGAAAGGGGCACAGUGGGGCAGGGAUGGGGGGGACCCUUGGAACUGGUUCUGACUCUCUGCAACUGUCCUGGAAAUGGACUGUGGCUGGCGCAGUGGGGAGGGCCGUGGGGCCUGUGUCGGGGAGAGCGGCAUGGGUGACAGAGUUGUUUCUGCAACCAAGUGCUAGCUGGGACCCUCACUGCCAUCGUGGUAAGGGAGAGAUCUGCCCAAGGGGGGCCCUGCAGGCUGGGGGCCCUACAUAUGGUCUCCUACCCAGCCAGUGCCCCUGGCUUCAGGGGGCCAUGCCACGAGGCAGAGGGGGGCGGUGCAGGCAUGGGCCCCCUGGGGUACAGAGAGCCAAGCAGAGAUUUGAUGGGCCCACGCCCCAGUGAUACAGCUCUGGGAAAUGGGUGUGUGCUUCAGUGACUGGGACGAUGCCAGGGAUGGAUCUCUGCAGAAUGGCUCCGAGGAUUCGUGGCGGUGGAGGGGGUGACUGCUAAACUCCCCCAGAGCCGCCCGGGGACUUGGUGACACGUGGGAGCAGCUUCCAGGCAGCCAAGACUCGCCCCUUCACCACGGCACCCUGCUCUUCCCGGCUCUGAGAGGGGAGUGGGGGCAGUGCCUGGACCUGGGACGCCUCCCCCGCGGCCCCUGGCAAGUGAAAGUGAAACAUGGAGAGGAGCCGAGUCACUGGGAGAUUCCCCUGAUGGAGCCUCCAGCAGCCAGAGACUCGUCUGGGGUGCGACUUCCUGCAGCUAAACAGCACCUGAUCCAGACCCAGGUGUCCUAGGGGCCCUGCCCAACUGCCUGGAUGGGCUUUUCCCUCGAUGCCAAACUGCUGCAGACGGCCCUGGAUGAGGCACCCAAAAUCAACAACCGCAACUCGACGGUGCACGGGUGCCCGGCGCUGCGGGCCUGCCCUGGCUGCGGCGCUCUGGUGAGCCACACCCAGAAGGGCUGCCCCACGGUGUGGUGUGCCGAGUGCUCCUGUUCCUUCUGCUUCCGGUGCCUGAAAGUGGGUUACUGCGGGUACAAGCUCCCCCGGUGCCGCAUCCAGGAGACGCAACGACUGCAGGGCAAGAGAAGCAGCCAGCCCCAGCUGUGAGCCGGGGACGGACCCUCCUGCCCACCCCUCCCUUUUGGAGUUCUUGGAAAUUACUCUGCGAGACAAAUCAGCGCUUUGCCAUGAGCUUCGCCGUGGUGGAUGCUGUUGUGUUUAGGGACCUCGGGCCUUGGUCCCCCUGAACCGAGAGAUCUUCCGACCAGCCCGGGCCAGAGACAGGGACCCAGGUGCCACCUCCGGCGGCUCCAGCUGAGUGCCGGCCACCAGCUGGGAUGAUGCAGGAUCAGAUUUGAACAGCUCCGGUCCAUGGCAAUUAACUUCUGCUCUUUGGCCCGGGGGAAUCCCACGCCCCAUUCUGGCCCCCGCAGUUCCAGCAGGGCAGUGGUUAAAUCGGAGAGGGGCCAGAGGGGGAUUCGAAACCCUGCCGUGGAGUGAGAGAUUCCCGGAGCACACCGUUGAUGCACGCUCUCCGACCUAGCAGGCAAAGUAAUAACACCUCCCAAGAACUGCAGCUGAAAUGGAGGCAUCCAUUCGUCACCACGUGUGUAAUUAGCUAGUGGGACAAUUUCCCCAGGGGAGUCUCCAUCCCUGGUAACUCUUAGAGCGAGACAGGCUGUUCUGACAGAUCUGCUCUGGCUCCCACAGGGCUUGCUCAAGGGCGGGGGGUGCUCUCUGUGUUUUAGGGGGUCGGACUAGGCAAUUGUGGCGAGUGAUGGACUCCGGGCUAGCCCGUGUAUAUCCUGUUCCCUAUGUGGAUGGGACACGGCAGGCAUGUAUCAGGAUGCCCUGAGCACGCCACAGAGAUCUAAUGGCAGGUACGUUUGCUAAAUUGGCCUGUGCGUUCUAUACAAUUCUGCUCACCUGCGCUAAGCGACCCAUCACGCCCGGCAUUCACGGAAGCAUCUGGCCGGAGUCGGUCAUUAACGGCUUGAAAUCAAGGUAGAUUCAUCCUAUGGCUUCAUGCUGGCCGGGGAAGUGCCUCUGUCGCCCAGCCCCUGGAGCGCCGGGAUCCAAAACCCAGCUAAGGAAGGAACAGAACCAGCGAGGGAGCUGGGCCGAGCGGCUGGGGAAGGGAUUAGCAACGGGUCACUUGUGAAAUCGUGGUAUAAAUAGCACCGGCUGAAAUGUGUCAUGGGGGGACGCACCACUUCCCGCAGACCUGCACCGCAGAGAACGGUUGUCCUGCACCGUGCGAUUGGCUCGUAGUGAUAAACCUGCCUGGCCUUUGUUACUUGGUCUCCUGAGCGUGUCUCACACCGAGCCAAAGUGGGAUCCACGACUGACUCUGCAGAGCCAGACUCUGGGCAACGUUUGACGAUCUGCUCCGGGGGCUGGCGCCGCCGACCCAGAGCGCGGCGAAUCCCAGCCGGAUUACCAAGGCAGCAGCCCUGAGACUCUCGGCAGUUGGGAGGCUGGGGAGGUCAUGGGGAAGGUGAUUGGGUUUGGCGGGGAGAUUCCACAUCGCUCGGCCCCGUACACUCCCAGACAGGGCGUAAGGGCUGCAGAUGCCGUAGGGAACAGGGCUUUUCCAGGAAGCUGGCUGGGGGUGGCUGGGGAAGCCCGGUGAGGCAUGCACACAAACCGGGAAACGACGGCCUAGGAAGGAGAACUGCAGAAACGGAACUGGGGUCACCGUGAACCACAAGCUAAAUAUGAGUCAUCAGGGUGCCGCUGUUGCAAAAAAAGGGAACAUCCCUCUGGGCAGGAGUGUUGUAAGCAAGACACGAGAAAUGAUUCUUCCGCUCUGCUCUGCGCCGAUUAGACCCCAGCUGGAGGAUCGUGUCCAGUUCUGGGUGCCACAUUGCAGGAAAGAUGUGGACAAAUUGGAGAAAGUCCAGAGAAGAGCAACAAAAAUGAUGAAAGAUCUAGAAAAAUAUGCCCUGUGCGGGAAGAUUGAAAAACCUGGGUUUGUUUAGCCUGGAGAGGAGAAGACUGAGAGGGGACGUGAGAACAGUUUUCAAGUGCGUAAAAUAAUUGAUCGGCUGCCUCCUGGCUGGGUUGGGGCAAUUGCUAAGAGCCCGUGGCGCUGGGGAGCUGCAGAAAGCAGGCGGAGAUCAUAUGGGAGCCCGUGGGCAGGGGGAGGAAAUCCAGCUGUUUUAGGGACACCCCCACUGCAGAUCCUCCGGGUGAGGGGCCAUCCAACCACACUGGGCUGGGGCGCUGCUCUGCUGGGACACUUUGACCCUGUUUGCUGGUUAACGUGUGUGGCAGAACUGGUCUGAUUUUCCAUCCUGGUGUGUGUAAUUUAGCGCGGCUCUGCUGGUGAAAAUGGGCGCCGUCGCGUUCAUUCAAAGUCCAGCCUUGGCAGGGCAGGAGGCCCGAGGGCUGGAAAACACAGACCAACUGGUGCCAAUCCCCCGGCUGCCCAGGAAGGGGCAGCUUUGCCCAGAGCUGUGGGUGAGCCAGCGGUCUUGCAGUGGGUGCCAUGCUCAUGUCAAGCGCUGUAACAGCGCACGGGACGUCGAGCUUAUGGGGAAAACCCUUCCCCGGGCUGGGAUCGGUGCUUGGGAACAGGCUGUGUGACACAGGCCCCUCUGGUUGAACGAGAGCACACUUGGGGGUUAGAAAGCCGGCGACGUUACGAUUUCACAGCCCAGAAACAGCCCUGGAACCAUCCACAGCAGAAAAACCAUGACAGGUGCAAAGGGGGAAACUGAGGCACAACCCAAUCAUGGCCGGCUCGGCUAGAUGUCACAGUGAGAGCCCUCUGGAGAACGCUGUUUGAAUCGGGUGGUUGGGGCUCGCAUUGGGUUUGUGGGACCGGGGCCGGAGCUCGAGGCUAUGGAUAUCCUGCCAGGGAGCUAUAAGAGAACCAUAGGACCCUCAUGCUGGUGUCUCCGAUCGGCUUAUGCUUGGUCUGGGGAUGCUUGAUUCAUAACCCUGAGGUCUCCAACCCCCGUCAGGAUCACCCUGCUAAUCCCCGGGGCCGAAUUUGAACCAGCUCCAUAUAUGGCCUGCCCGUUCGGACGGUAACCCGAUGAAGUGACACUGGCAGGAAAUUUCUGCAACCAGCGUUGCUACGCGAAGCGGCGCUAAGAACUUUACUGGUCUCUGUAGGUUUAAUCUUUUAACCACAAUCGUCCCUCUCUUUGCUGUGUUAAUAAAUCCUAGUUUGAGAAUUGGCCGGAAGGGUGUAUUUGGGGGAGAUCUGAAAUACCCAUUGACACGGUGGGUGGAUGUGUCCGAUCCUUUGGGACCAGUAGAACUUUGUAGCGGAUGAACAGGGUUUUUGGUGAAACUCCUCGUGUUCCACUCGGCUGUCUGGGCAGGAACCUGGGGCUGGGUUGCUUUAGGGGAGCAGUGGUUUUGGCGUCUGGGUCAUCCAGCAGGUAUUGGACCCCAUGUCUUCCACCUUCCUUGCACAGCGCUGGGAUGCCGGGUUCUCGGGCCAAAGGUCCCCGUCACGGGGUGUCCACCCUGCCCUCGCCCAGCCGGGGGGAAAGGCAGCCGGAGGGGUAAACUCACCUGGGCAGGGACGACCAGGGCGGAGGAGCCUGGGAAGGCCAGGACUCGGGCUCAGCUGAGGGGCCGGACUGGGGGUCGCAGAGCCGGAACCCACAGCGUCAGGCGGGCAGACGGACCCGGGUUCCCCCGGCAGCCGCUGUGGCCAUGGUGCUGGCGAGGCCGUGCGGUGGAUCCCUGCCCGAACCUGUCUGGGAGAAGAGAAUUUCUCUCCCCACCCCUCCCCGGAAGGGGAAACUAAAGUAGAGACCGAGCCAGAGGGCUGAGUCCUGCAGCGAGAGCGGGGCCGCGAACGGAGCAGGAGGGUGUUGAGCCGGCAAGGAGGAGGCGCCGUCUCCGUGGUGAGUGGAUCCCCCCGCCCAUUGCAGCCCCUGGUUCAUGAUGCCCCAGGCAGGGUCUGUGCACCAUGGGGGUGGCAGUGCUGAGCCCCCAGGGGGUGGAGACAGGCCAUGCUCAGACUGGCACCUACUGGCUUCGAUGGGUACGGGGGGGGUCCCCUUUCUCUCCACCCCCCACCCCAAGAGUUCGUCUCCAUCUCACCCCUCUUUCCCCGCCCUGCCAGCCUCCAGGGUGUGUGGGCCUCCUAUGGGAACGGGGUGAAUUUUGCCCCCCUCUGGGUGUAGGCACAGAUGGACUGGGGAACCGCCUGCUCCUGGGGGUGAUGGAGGGUCUUGACCUGCCGGGGGGAACAGGGCGGGGACAGGCACCGUGCCCCCCCCCCCCGCUGUUCUGCGUGGGCCUCGACGCCUGGACAUGCCCUGGCUCUCGGAGGGACACGGUGCAGACACCCCCCACCCGAGAGCUGCGGGGGGAUCUCACGGCCCCUCUCCCCUGCCCUGACACAGCGCCGGAGGAUGGGCGCGUGCUGUGGCUGUUGUGUGACUGUAGUGGCGAGACGGGUGUCCACUUUGGAGGGGGCAGCGGCAUCACCUACGGGCUGGAGGCCAGCGCUGACGGCGGCGGGGCCUGCGGCUACGGGGGUGACGCUGGUGGUGACGCGGGCGGUAGCUGUGACGGUGAAUGAACCCAGCAGCCGGAGCCAGCCCGGGGAGUUGGUGGCGCGGGGGAGCAGUGGGGAAACAGCUUCCAGGCAGCCAGGACUCAGGGCUUCACGUGGCACCCGAAAAACAGGGCUGGCUUCUCACAGGCCAUUUGCUCUUCCCGGCUCUGGGAGGGGAGUGGGGGCUGGUGGGUCAGAGCAGGGGGGCUGGGAGCCAGGACUCCUGGGUUCUCUCCCCGGCUCUGGGAGGGCAGUGGGGGAUGGUGGUUAGAGCAGGGGGGGCUGGGAGCCAGGACUCCUGGGUUCUCUCACCCGCUCUGUGUCUUUCAGCUACAUCGCAUGCCUGUCUCAAAUCACGUUAGCGCAGGGACUUGUCUCUUUCAGUGACCUGUAAUGUGUGUGGCUUUAUUUAUAUCUGUACGUGUUGAAUUUUGGGGGAGAAUUGAUUAUUCUGACGCAUAUUUAAGCAUGUUUUAGUUGAUUGAAAUGUUCACGGGUGUGGGAAAUGUGUGUGUAGUGGGGUAGGGCUUGUCUGACUGUUUGUCAGUCCCGGUUGAGUUCACAGUUUGUGACUGUUCACACCCACCCUGUCACCCUCCCCUGGCGAAAUACACAGAGCAAAGGGCCACACAUCGCCAGCCCGCCCGGGUUUUCAUCGUUUGUUCCUGCCUGGUCCAUUGGGAACCCACCAGCCGCCGGAGCGGGACGCCGGCAGAUUCUCGGGCAGCCUUGUUCGGAGCUGUACGUGCUGAUUGGCUCCCGAGGGAAAGAUUUCUGUCCCUCUGGGUGCGCGGGGAAAUCUGCAGUGACCCACUGAAAGGGGACCGCUCCCAGCCCCAUGGCGAGGGCCUCACCCGGACCCUGGGGAGCGUCAGAGGGGUCCCCCAGCGAGUCGUCCCAGGAGAUGCACAGCUGAGCGGCUCACGGCCCCCGGCAGAGGCUCCUGUCGCGCUGGGCCCGGCUCUCGCUUGCAGGUCUCUGGGGGUUGCAAAGCUGCUUGUUUUGGGGCAAAGUGCUCCUUCUGCCCUGCCCCCCUGUAGCGGGGCAGUCACCCCGCCCCGGUGUGGAAGGGGUUAAAAACAGGCCCCGGGGCAGCCUUUCAGGGCCGGGCUGGGAGUAUAAGAAGGCCCUGGGUGGCAAUCUCUCGCCAGCCUCGGAGAGGGAAGGACCUGGGUGGCUGAGAGCUCAGGGUACCUGGAGCAGAGCUGGGCUGGGGAAAGGCAGGAGGAGCUCCGGCCUGGCAAACCCCGAGGCUGCCUGUUUGCCCAGGCGUGAGCUGCUGCGUGGGAGGGUGUGAACCCGUUACGCCCGACGCUGGGAUCCCGGAAAGGUUGUGUUCCCGUUGAUGUACGAUAGGGGCCCAAGGGGUUAGCAGAACCCAGUCCCUGUCCAGCCUCAAGCCAGAAGGGCCGGGCGCUGGCCACUGUCGGCAGACUGGGCUGGCUGGGCCACUGGGCUGACCCAGUGUGGCCGUUCUUACGGCAAACAACCCAUUAAAAACCCUGUACACCUAACACACACACGUCUGCACACACACAGACACACUAACCACACACACACUGACACUAAUGCACACGUCUGCAAACACACUGACCACACGGACACUAACACACACACGUCUGCACGCACACAGACAU